UCAAACUUUUUCAGGCAAAUUGGUUAGGAGGAUCAUAUAUUGGUUCCCUGAAAGCAUUUGAUGGGGAGUUGGUUUCCCUUUCGCCAAUGGGAUGUCUUUGAACAUGGAUUUGUUAGAGGAAGAGAUGCAAAUUUUGGGCAGGCGGACAAAGAACAACCCUUACCUUAUUGGAGAGCCUGGUGUCAGGAAGAUAGAUAUUGCAGAAGGGAUAACUCAACACAUUGCUAAUGGGGAUGUGUUAGAGAUUAUUGAAGGAAAGAAGGAACUGCAAACGGAGAACGUAAUUGGUAGUGGGCAUCGAGAGCUGGG